rnacentral:lncRNA from 1 species
AAUCUCCUUCUUAGUGGCAGCAAGGUCAAAGUCUGGAUCAGCCUGCUUCAAGGCUGAGGGAGGCUACACUGUAGCAAUACAGUUUGCCUGCUGUCCCAUCCAGCAGGACUUAGUUAUUCCAUGGGUGGAGAAGGACCAGGGCCUGAAAGAGAAAUGAGCAGAGAAAGGGAAGCGAGACCAAACAAAGAGUUGUCAAGGUCUGUUUAAUGAAGGCUAGGAGCCUGAUUAUAAGCACACAGUGAGAGAAAAUAGGGAGGGGUCGAGGGGGCAUAAUAAAAUACAGAGAAAGGGAUGGGCACCUGGGCUGGAUGCUGAUUACAGGCUUCUUGCAGCUUAUCUUGGAAUGUUGGCCCUAAAACUGUCCCUGGCGGCCUUCAAACUUUCUGCAGUUUAUCUUGGAGUGCCAUAAAUAGUCUCAGGCACCAAACAGAGACAUGGAAGAAGAGGUGAAGCUGCCUUAAUCUAAGCAGCUCUAGGCGCCAAGUGAAGGAGGGAGUGAAGCUGGCAGUCUCAGGCACCAGGUGGAGGCAAUGAAGGAGGGGGUCACAUAAUUCUCUUCAAAGGGUCAGCUGGAUCUUUAGGGUGAGAGUAACUGUGGGACCUAGUUUUCCAUGGGUUAGUCUCUCACAGCCUGCCUUCUCUGAUUCCUGUUCCAAUCUUCUACAGAUCCCAUAGAUCUUCCCCCUUCUAACCACUUUCUGACCCUCAUUGUUUGGACUAUCCUCCAAACCCGCAAAGCAGCCACUGCUAUCCCAAAGGCUGCUCCUUUGAGGGCAUUGAAUCUACAGCUUCAAUGAAAUUCUCAACAAAUUCCAGCACAUUUACAGACAUUGAAAGAACAAUUCUAAAAUUCAUUUGGAAAAAACUUAGAACCCAGGCUGGCAAAAACUAUUCUCAACAACAAUAAGAGAACUUAUGGGGGAAUCACCAUCCCUGAACUCAAGCUCUACUGAAGAAUAAUAGUGAUAAAAACAACAUGGUAUUGGUACAGAGACAGGCAGGUACAUAAAUGAAAUAGAAUUAAAGAUCCUGAAAUCAACCCACACACCUUUGGUCACUUGAUCUUCAACGGAGAUGGUAAAAUCAUCCAAUAACAAAAACACAGCAUAUUCAACAAAUGGUGCUGACUUAUGUGGAAGCAAACGUGUAGAAGAAUACAAAUUGACCCAUUCACAUCUCCUUGUACAAAGCUCAAGCCCAAGUGGAUCAAGGACCUCCACAUAAAACCAGAUACACUGGAUCUAAUAGAAGAGAAAGUGGUGAAGAGCCUCACACACAUUGACACAGGAGAAAAUUUCCAGAACAAAACAGUAGUGGCUUAUGCUAUAAGAUCAACAAUCAACAAAUGGGAUCUCAUAAAAUUGAAAAGAUUCUGUAAGGCAAAGAACAAUAUCAAUAGAACAAAGUGGCAAUCCGCAGAUUGGGGAAAGAUCUUUACCAACCCUAUACCCAAUACAGAGAUAAUAUCCAAAAUAUACAAAGAACUUAAGAAAUUGGACUCCAAAGAACCAAAUAACCCUAUUUAAAAAUGAGGUGCAGAACUAAACCAAGAAUUCUCAACUGAGGAAUCUUGAAUCUUAGAAGCACUUAAAAGAAAUGUUCAAUAUUGUUAGUCAUCAGGGAAAUGCAAAUCAAAUGACCCUGAGAUUCCACCUCACACCAGUCAGAACAGCUAAGAUAAAAAAAAAAAAAAAAAAAAAAAAAAAAAAACCCUCAGGUGACAGGUGACAGCAGAUGCUAGCGAGGAUCUGGAGAAAGAGAAACACUCCUUCAUUGCUAGUGGGAUUGCAAGCUGGUACAACCACUCUGGAAAUCAGUCUGACAGUUCAUCAGAAAAUUGGACAUAAUGCUACAACUCCUAGGCAUAUACCCAAAAGAUGCUCAACAUAUAACAAGGAUACAUGCUCCACUAUGUUCAUUGAAGCCUUAUUUAUAAGAGCUAGAAGCUGGAAACAGCCCAGGUGUACCUCAACAGAGAAAUGAAUACAGAAAAUGCGAUACAUUCACACAAUGGAGUACUACUCAGCCAUUAAAAACAAUGUCUUCAUGAAAUUUGCUGGUAAAUGGAUAGAACUAUAAAAUUAUCAUCCUGAGUGAGGUAACACAGUCACAAAAGAGCACACACGGUAUUUACAAACUUAUCAGUGGAUAUUAGAAAAAAAAUCUUGGAAUACCCAUGAUACAACUUAUAGACCAUAUGAAGUUGAGAAGAAGGAAGAUCAAAAAUCUAAGAAGGAUUGGAUGCCUCAGUCCUAGUUAGAAUGGGGAACAAAAUAAUCACAAUAUGUAGAGAGUGGGUGAGACUUGAGAGGAAUAGAGGAGGGUGAGAGGAGAAAAAUGGUGUCAGGUUCAUGUGUGAGAAGAGAUGGGGAAGAUGUACAGAGGAUCAGGAAACUAAACAGAGGCUUGUAGCAAUGAGGGAUGGGGAGCUAGUGGCAACUGAGAGAAAGUCCCAGGACUCAACAGGGAUGACAUUAGUUGAAGUACCAAACAAAAGUGAGAGGAAAACCUGUAAUGACCAUAUCCAGUGGUUAGGCACGGCCCCCAUUAAAGGAUGGAGCCACCCACCCUUCCCAAAAUUAUAACUUGAGAAUUGCUCCUGUCUAAAGGAAAUAGAGGGAAAAAGAGUGGGGCAAAGACUGAAGGAAUGGCCAUCCAGAGACUGCCCCACCUGGGUAUCAAUCCCAUAUUCAGGCACUAAUCCCAGACACAAUUGCUGACGCCAAGAAGUGCUUGCUGACAGGUGCCUGAUAUGGAUGUCUCCUGAGAGGCUCAGCCAGAGCCUUACUGAUUGAGAUGAGCAUGCUUGCAGCCAACCAUCCGAUUGAACAGGGGACCCCAAUG